ensembl:snRNA U6 U6 spliceosomal RNA
CUGCUUGCUUCAGCAGCACAUAUACUGAAAUUGGAACAAUACAAAGAAGAUUAGCAUGCCCUCUGCUCAAGGAUGACACUAAAAUUUAUAGAGUGUCCCAUAAAGCUU